rnacentral:rRNA from 1 species
UUUAUUGUUAAUAAUUAAAAUUUAAGUUAUUAAUAAUUUAAUUGGGGCGAUAAAAAAAGAAUAAGUAUCUUUUUAGUUACAAAAUAAGUUCCGUUUUUAGCGAUUAAAUGAAAUAAAUACUCUAGGGAUAACAGCGUAAUAAUUUUGGAUAGUUCAUAUAGAUAAAAUAGUUUGCGACCUCGAUGUUGGAUUAGGAUUCUUUUUUGGUGAAGAAGUUAAGGAAAGAAGUUUGUUCAACUUUU